CAGCCGCCACGGUAAUACGGAGGGUGCAAGCGUUAAUCGGAAUUACUGGGCGUAAAGCGCACGCAGGCGGAUUGUUAAGUCAGAUGUGAAAUCCCCGAGCUUAACUUGGGAACUGCAUUUGAAACUGGCAAGCUAGAGUCUUGUAGAGGGGGGUAGAAUUCCAGGUGUAGCGGUGAAGUGCGUAGAGAUCUGGAGGAAUACCGGUGGCGAAGGCAGCCCCCUGGGCCAACACUGACGCUCAUGCACGAAAGCGUGGGGAGCAAACAGGAUUAGAUACCCCGGUAGUCCCUGUCUCUUAUAC
rnacentral:rRNA from 1 species